AACCGCUUGAACAAGCUAUGGAGCUUGAGUAGCUCAUUGGAAUUGGUGUUGGUUUUGGAGUAGAGUAUUGUUGACAUUGGUGAAGAACAAAGGUCGACUGAAGCAUUGAGGUAAGGAUGCUGCAGGAGCCUCUGGUGGCAAGUGGCCAUAUCUGGAUUAUGCAUGAAAUAUGGCAUUUCUUUGAGUUUAUGCAUGCCUUUUGUAGUUGACAUGUAUAGGAUUUUAUUUUGAAAGCCCAUGGUCAUUUGUAUAUCUUGAUUCAUUGGAUGAACUUAGCCUAUGCUCAUGCCUUUGGUUACACCUUUUGUUGAUGGGAGCCAAGGGAAUGAUCAUAGUGUUUUGUAAGCUAAGUUCUAUGAUUUGUAAAGGAUAUGUAAUGUAAAUGAUGCCUACUUGAAAUUCAA